UUGUUCGUAGGCUAAGUAGUAUUAAUUGUUUGAUUUCAGAGAACUUGUGGUUGGUGUGAACAAGUAAUCAACAUUAGUGUGAAUCUACCUACCAUUAAAAGAGCAACCGGCUUUGGCCGUUAUUUAUGGAGAGUGCAGUCUAAUUAGACUGUUAAAUAGGGUGGCAACACGUAGACCACGUCCCUUGU
rnacentral:ncRNA from 1 species